GCGCGCCUGCGCGAAGUGGAGUGGCCAAAGGGUAGUGGUAGUGGGUGGCUCAGAGGGCAGCCUUCCUCCUCUUCUGGUUAGCACCUGUACAGACCCAACGUCCAGCUGCCAGCGUCUUCUCAUUCCCCACGAGAGUGCUCAGGAAUUGAAACACCCAAAGGAAGAGGAACCACAGGACCAAGAAACGUGUUUCCUAAGGAAUACCAAACCUCCCUGCUGCCUAAGUCAAAGAAGCCCUCACAGAAUCACAGGUUACCUUGAAGACCAGAAGAGGGCAUCAAAUCUCUCUCGGAGCUGAUAGGCAGUUUUGUGUAGCCUGCUGAAGGGCUAGGAACAGAACUCUGGUCCUGUGCAAGAACAGCAAGGAAAAGUCUGAUGCUUGUUGGAUAAAAUGAAAUACAACUAUUUCAUUUACUAAAGUCCUUAAUUUUAGUGUAAGUGAAUGAAUAUUUUAUCUUCUUCCAAAUAACACGAGUGAGAAAAAAGCAGGUGUCGGUUUUUCAAAUAUUUGAAAACAACAGGUAAAUAGAGGCACAUCCCAUGUCUAUAUUCACCUAAUUGAUUCAUAAAAUAUGUCAUCAUUUUACACUCGGUUAGAAGAAAUAGUUCAUGCUUCUUACUGGUGACCUAUUUUUAUGCACAAAAUUCCUUCUAAUCCUGGUAAGCAGGUUUUCUAAACAAUGAUCAAAGAGUGGCACAUAGUGGAUAAUCAUUUAAUCCGCAGAUGCCUGUCUAUAAAAAGCAAUAAUAAUCUAGCCUUAUAUGUAGUAUCCCUAAUCAAGCUAUUGCCUAUUUCCCCAAGACUGUUAAAUUUAUCAAAGAAUAUAACUUAAAUGAAGCAAACAGUAAAGACAUAUUCACAUUCAUAUCAAGCAGGCUUAAUAAAAAAAACUACUUUUUAAAAAGUCUACCAUCACAGUGUUAGAAAUACUGUUUAUAUGUCAUUAUAUAAGAGAAAAUUAUAUUUGACAUGAUUCUGUUGCUAAAAUGUGAUAUUCUGAACUCUCUGUGUAGAAUUGAAAAUAUAUUAAAGUGAAACUUGCCUGGAGAAAGAUAUCUUGUUUGUUGUCUAUUAUAUAUAACUAAUAUAUUUAAAAAUACCAAAGUGCUAAAAAGAAGGAAUUCAGGAAAUCCUUUAAGGACACAAGAGGAAACUUAUUUUGUUGUGCACAAUAACAAGUUGGGCUUUAAGAACAAAUGGGCAGAAUUGCCUAUGAAGACAUGUAACGUGCUUAUCUGUGUAAGUUGCAGAAAAUACCCAUAAACCAGUUCUGGCUAGUGAGUGUAUGGUGCUGCUUGACUGAAUUUUCAAGUGUCUCAAUGUAGACUGAAAAUAUUUCCCAGCUCUCCUGAAAACAAGAAGAGAAAAAAGAAAAUGGAGGGAAAGCUCAACAAGGCUUAGUCCAAACUACAAUUCAUUACAUGAGGCAUACUGACAUGGUCCUGAAGCUACAUAACAAUAAUACUCAUGAAAAUGUAUGAGAAUGAGGUGUUGUACCAUACUCUAAGUGCUUCACAGAUGCCUGUUCACUUGUCCACUCUGACCAUCUGUCUCAUAGCAAUUCAGCCAUCUGAUACAGUAUUUUCCACUUUUAUUUACAAACAUGCUGGUACUUAAAAGCGGUCCCCAUGUUCAUAAGCUGUCUGUUUCUAACAAAUCUCUCUUAAAUUCUGUACAGGGAGGUGAGAGAGUAUUUUCACAGACUGUUUUGUAAAAUAAACAGCCUGUGUGAUCCUUCAUUGAGCACGUCUGUUUCUCCUGUGGUUGUGGACAUGCUUCCGCAAUUAGUCCACAUUCUUUUCCUUCAACACUGUUUUGCAAGCAAAGCCAUCUUGUCCGAAUGGAUGGAAUUGAUUGCUAUCUGUUAAAGAAUCUGCUGAGUGAAGAGGAUCACCUUUGAAUCACCAGGAUUACAGGUUCGCUUCUCAUGCCUGACUUUCCAGUGGACACUUUGAUGACCAUGAAGUGUUGUCCUCCCUUCUCCCUGGGAACUGUUGGCCACUGGCCCAUGAAGACAAAGGGAGCAGAGUCAACAGGGUUUGGAAGGGCAGUGAGUACUACAGAAAUGACAGACUUCCAAGGAUUAGCUUCAGAGAAGCAGCUCAACUUUACUCAGGGUGAAUCAAUGACUGUAUGUGUUUUAGGAAGGGGGUAGGAAUUUCCAGGGUCGGUAAGAAUCAUUGGCCAGAGCUUAGAGUACCUAAGAAUGCCCCAUUUGCAUGGAGAGGAAGUCUAGGAGUUCUAGGUGCUUGCUGGACAGGUAGUUAGUAGGAAGGAAGCUGAACCUGUAAUCUCAGCAAAGCUACAGGACACUCUGCAGGUAGAGGAUAUAGAGGUUGGGCUCCCCAAAUCAGACAGAGAAGAGGAAGCCCUGCUAAGAAAAGGGAGUCCCCUACCUAGUGCCAAGCUCAAAAGAACUGUCUGGAUGUGGAAUACUGCUACCUUUAAAUAGCAAGUUCCAACAAUGAAGCUUCAACGUCUCCGAUGUCUAUAUGUGUUUCAGUAGCCUGGUCUACAGGAGUUUGGACAGUAUACUAGCAGAUAGGAUACAGGACUUCUUUGGUGAAGCUCACUGAGUGCUCAGGAGCCACUGCAACUGACAGCAAGUGUGAGAUACUCAUCACUCGCCACAGGCCUUAUCUGUGAGGGUGAGACCACCUUGAUGGGCUGAACGUGUGCAGUAGUAGAGUGGGGCAUCCUUUACUGUCUAAGGGCUGCACAGAUGUAUUAGACUUCCCUGCUGUGACAAGCAUCCAAGAAACAAUUAGAAAGAAGGAAAGUUGAAAUAUGGGUCACAAUUUCAGAUGUUUUAUUGCUAGGUUUUGUGUCUCUGUGUUUCUGUGCUCAAAGCCAGACACAGGAGGCACACUGGUAAUGUUUAGGUCUAAUACCAUGGCAGAAGGGCUCAGUGAAAGAGGGCUAUUCAUUUUAUGAUUGCCAGAAAGUAAAAAGCUGUACACAGCAAAGGUAAAGUUAAGAUAGAUCCAUUAAAGCCAUUCCCUGGCAACCCAGUUCCUCCAGCUAGGCCCUACCACAGUUCCAUCAAUGCCCAGUCUUUUCAAAUUUUGAAGCUCUAAGUAACUGAACAAUGGAUUAGGGCAGAGCCCUCAGGAUCUUAUUUCUGAAAAUGCCCAGAGGUAAACUUUACAGAUCUUCUAGUAAUCUCUCAAUACAAAGAAGUUGACAAUGAAGAUUAACUAUUACAAUAGUUGAUUUCAUAGGACUGACUUACUCAGGGAGUUCUUUCCCCUUCCAAGGACUGAGUAAAUGAAAAAAAAAUAAUGCAAACAAAUGAUAGCACAUUUUAUAACAAAGGUAUUAAAGUAUUUCAAGUGAAUCUUCUUUACAGACAGGACCUUGGUGAGAUACAAAGAUUGUUAAUAAACAAUUCUAGUGCUCCAAAGUGAUGCAAGAUACCAUAUUAAUUCUUAUAGAUGUAUACCAUAUGAGAAAAGUUUAUAGGUGGAGGUAGUAAGGGAUACUGAGCAAGUAGAAAAACUCUAUUUCACAUGAGCUUUCAUUUCUUUGUGAAGGAGAAUGUUCCCUUCUACUGAAAUAAAAUCUCUUUAGUGGCACCCCUCUGCAUCAUGACAAUCUGGAUUUUGUUGCCUGGCUUUCAAGCAUGUGUGUGUGUUUGCUUCUUUGCAGUUAAUUUUCUCCUCUCCUAGAGUACUUCAUCAGUGAUAUUCCUUCCAUCAGAGAUGGUCUCUGUCUGCACACUCAUCUGAAUGAUUCCUAACUGAUUAGUAGACUUUAUCAUUAGUGGUCCUUCUGUAACAAAGACUACUUUGAUGUAAUUACUCUAUCUGUCUAUAUUAGAUACUCACUUAAGACUGUGUGAUUUUCCUUGAUAAAAAUCAUUAAUGGAAUGAUUUAUUCAUUUAAAGUUUUCAUAUGUAUAUGACAUAUGUAUAUUAACACAUAUAUUUUCUAUUUGCUUUCCUGAGAGGACCUAAAAACCCCUGGCAUCAAGGUCUUGACUUUAAAUAGCAUUUGUCAAUGAGAAAACAAGGGUUCUUUGCAGAAAUGACUGACUCUAGGGCUGUCACAGGUAAGCAGAGAUGAGCUUGUACCAUCUUGUAAUAAGAGGAAGAAGAGGUCUCUAAAAAUAAAGAAGUGGUGAUUUCCACUUAACAAUGCUUUGUUGGAGAGUAUGAUUCAAAGGUAAAGGCCAGCCUGAGUGUGUAGAGCUAAACCUGAGCUGUUGAUAUAUCUCAAGCAAGCAAGCCAGCACUAUAAAAAGAAUAUACAUGAACAAGAUGCAAUAGCCUAUAUACAAAAGGCCCCAAUGGCAAAAGUUGAAACAAUUCAAAGAGCAAAUACGUAAUGACAGUCUAGGAUUAUAACCUAAAUAAUAGACAUUGUGAUGUCAUUGAAAUCGCAAUGAUUUCUCGUAGAAUCCAGUGUAAUUACUCAUUCCUUCAGGGGAUACCACUUAAUUACCAUCCUGUGUGGUCUGGAUUUAGUAUUCAGUUCUAAUUGAUACAAAAUAAAAGAGUAACUUUGUGCAGAGAAAUCUACCAGAUAGCACACUGACUGAAUGCUCACCAGUAUCAAUGCCUUCUAUGAACAGCAUUUGUUCCCCCAAAAUAUGAUGGAUCUUCUCUCUCCACUGUUAUAGAAACCAUCACACCAACGCAAUUAUGGAAGCACAUUAGAUACAGCCAAACUUAGGUGCUCUUCAUAAAAUACCCGGUCAAUAAUUUUCAAAAGUUUCAAGUUCAUAGCUAACAAACGAUGUCUAAGAGAUUGUCACAGAUUGGAGAACACUAAGGAGAGGUUCAAUAUGACAUUUCUGAACUGGAUGCUAGAACAUCAACACUUUUUGCAUGUGUAGGUUGGAUAGCUUAUUAGUGCCACUAAAUGUGUGGUUAUGAGAGAUGUCAACUUUGGGAGAAGCAAUCUGAGGGAACAGAUCUAUGGGAAUGGUUUAUACUUAUUUGAAACUCUUCUGAAAAGGUAAAAUCAGAGUAAAAUGAAAGGUCAGAGCUGUCUUCCCACUGAGCUACAACUCCACCAGCAGAGGUGAUCUGUGUGUUGGACACUACUACAUCUCCGUUCACAGGGCAGCAAUGCCUGCUUUACAUAGCAGGGGUCUGGAACAUGGCUGCAUGUUAGACCUUUGGCCCUGCCCUUUAUGAACAGUAUCCCUAAGAUAUGUUUUUAAGCCCCAGUUGUCUCACCUGUAAGAGAAAUAAAGUUGAGAAUUGGGGACUUAAUGUAUGUAAAGUAAGCGAAAGGCCAUUCUCACUGACAACUGUGAGUCGAUAAUUGUUCAGUGCAUGAGUGAGUAAUGGAAGGCGGGUUUGUUAUUGCCGCUGCUGCUGUUGUUGUAUUGCCGCUGCUGCUGUUGUUGUCCUCAUUGUUGCUGUUGUUCUGUUGUGAGGUUUUGCUGAGAUUGAACUUGGAAUUCAGUUUAAGUUAAGGAGAGUUCUUUUUUUUUUUCUUUUUUUUUUUUCCGGAGCUGGGGACCGAACCCAGGGCCUUGCGUUUGCUAGGCAAGUGCUCUACCACUUAGCUAAAUCCCCAACCCCUUAAGGAGAGUUCUUGAAGAAGACUCAGAAAGCGUCCUAUAUUUAUAAUGGAAGAAGACCCAAUAAGUACAUGUGUUGACGCAAUGGCAGACAUGUGGAAUCUGAUGCAAGGAAUGUGUUUCAAGCAGUAAUAGUACAGAUUAUAAAAGAGAAGCAAUUGUCUCUUCCUGGUGUAAUGGGCACAGCCCCCAUUCAUAUGUGGUCUGUGACGACUUCCUUGUGGCAAUGUCAUGGCAGUGUAGAACAGCAGAAGUAGAGACCUUAUGAUGUCUCUUCAUGGCUUUAAUGGGAGUAGCCUGGCCCCAUCAUUCAAACAUUGUCUGUAACUGCUUCCUUGUAAUGAUGGCAUUACACUGUAUAACAGCAGGGGCAGAGAAGUUUUGAUACACAAAGCCAAUCAUGUUUACCAUAUGGCCUUCUCUGGGACAUUCGCUAAGCCCUGCUCUGCAAGUACAAUGUGGAUCUAGAGCGAAAAGACCAUAGCUCCUUCCAGUGAUGAUUCCUCACUUUCUAAGCUUUUUCAAUGAGUAAGAGGAGGUUGUCCUAUGCUCUGUGCAUCUGUGUUCUCUUUUCUAAUUCAUGAGGCCACAGUUUAUCUCUCUCCUAGUCACAGGAUAGCAGAAAUCAGCAUCAUGUAGUACAAAAGGGACAUCCUCUGUUGCCCAUCACUAAUUUAAAAGGAUCAGCUGCAUUUCACUCUAAAAUAACCUUUGACAUUUAGAUGAGGUCAUGUAGUCCCACUUAUAACCAUCUGACUUUGAACAAAUUAUUUAAUGUCUUAGAAUCUUGGCUUUCCUUGCCUGCAGACAAGAGGGUUAUAUGUUCCCAGGGCUAUUAGGGCAGAAUGAGAUGAAAAAAGUUUUAUGUGCAAUUUACAUUCUAGAAAGGUGGUUAUUAUUCAUCUUCGUCAAUAUUCUGUUGCUGUGAAGAGACACCAUGACUAUGGCAACUCUUAUUAAGGAAAGCAUUGAAAUGGGUCUUGCUUUGAGUUGCUGACAGUUUUACUCAUUAUCGUUAUGGUGGGAAACAUGGCGGCAAAGACAUACAUGAGAGUUCAACAUCCUGAUCUGCAGGAAGCAGGGGAGAGAGAGACCUGAGCCUGCCUUGAGCAUUUGAAGCCCCAAAGCCCACUCCCAGUGACACACUUCCUUAAACAAGGAUAUACCUCCUAAUAACUGUCAAGUAGUGCCAUUCCUAAUGACCAAUCCUUUAAAUAUAUGAGCCUCUGGGACCAUUCCUAUUCAAACCACUACAUUAUUAUUGAUGUUGUUAGUCAAUACAAAAUUAUGAUUGAGAACUUUGGCAAGACAUUUCUUGUGAUCUUGAGUUAUUGUUUUCUAUGCUUCAUUAUCUUCUACUAUUAAAAGGAUGGCAAUAAUUAACAUAAUUUAGGUUUGUAGUAAAGAAAAAAUGGGAAAUUGGUUUAGAACAAAGCUUGCCCACAAGGCAUUUACUAAAUAUUAGUUACUAUUAUAAGUAGAUGUUCAUAUUGGUACAUAGAAUCAAAAACAAAAGUUGUGUUUUAAAUAUGGUAUGAGAAACGUUUUUAGAAUGUUCAUCUAAAUUUUUGUACAAAUGUAAAAGAAUUAUAGGGACAGGAAGCUUGGAAGAGAGGGCUUCAUUCCAGAGUUUCAGCCAUGAAAGGUUCUCAGUGUUCUCAAUUGUCCUUAACAAUUAAGUCACCUUUGGAACAAAGUCAUCAUUGUAUGUACAGUUAUUUCCUGUGGCUUUUAUACCAUCAGGGAAUUUCCUGAUAAAUCUCUCUACUAAAAGGGCAGGCGAUGCCAAAACUGAAUACAUGUUCCUGGCACAAACACCAGGAAGUGCAUCAUGUGUCUGCUGGAAGAAGGGUAGGCCUGAAGAGAUGUAUGUGAAUACUUGUGGCACAAUAUGUUCUCCACAGACAUCUCUAGGAACAGCCAAGCCAGUGCUUUGGAAAUUAUACCUUAAGAAUGGCCUGGCUGGGAGGAGCUGGCACAGACUCUCAGGGUAUUGAGGCUCAAAAUGAAACCACUGGAUAAAGUUGAGAUGGAGUUGAUUCAGGUCAGAACCAGAAGAUUUCACAUUAGCUGGAUGACUUGCCACAACCAAGAUAGAACCAGCUGUUCUGCUUCUGACAAGUUUAGACCUGACUUGAGUCAGGAUACCUGUAGUCAUCUGAGGUAUGCCAGUCACAAAGUGGACCAGUUUGGAUGGGGUGGAAGGUGCUGAUGAAGUGAGAUAAAACCUCAGUGGCUUCUGCAACAGAAGUUAUUUCUUAUUAAGGCUCCGUGUUCAUUUUGGGUUGAAGGGAGCUGACUUCAGAGUCACCCUCGUUCUGGCACUUGACGUGGGGGAGAAUCCUCAUCUGGUACAUUGCUGGUCAUGCUGUAGGGGACAAGAGCUCUGGAGAUACACAUACUGGCAAUCAAAGACUUGGUACAGAUUCUGUAAUCAUUAAGCUCCUCCUCGGAUACAUGGAAGAACAAGAAUGAAGCAGAGGGACCAGAAUGCAGCGCACAUUUUCCAUCAGUGUCAUACCAGGGUGAUUGCACCACAGUAGAUAUUUCUAGUCAAAAAUCAUGCUUGGAGGCCCUUGCAUUCAUUUUGAGAAGUCCACUUGGGGUAAUGCAAAGCACAAUUUGUUGAUUAAAGAGUAAGAGAAUUGGAAUGACCUUAGAAAGAGAAGGUUUGGUGAGAGCUAGAUAAAGAAUCAGGGUUCCAUCUAAGUAGCCUUUCCAAAAGUGUGAUUGCCACAAGGAGAUUGAAGGGUGAAUCAUAUUUCCACAUCACAUAUUGAGUUAAAGAAGACAAGCCUUUCAUGUGGCUUUCCCUGAGACAGGGAGUCAUGUGACUGGGGUCAGACGAGCAGGCAGGAGAAUUUAACCUGUGGUUGAAGAAGUCAAAAUCUACCUACAGAGAUUGCUCAAAAGUCAAGUCUCAGAGUAGUUGGGCUGAUAGUGAAUGAACAGGUCUAGGAGACCUGAGCUCAGAGGUGCCUGCUGGAGAAAGAGGUGGAUUUGUUGCCAUGUACAUGGGCCAUAUGAAGGGACUUUUUGUUCUGGUGUAAGAAUAUUGUGGCAAUUUCAAAAACACAAGCCAGGUUAGGGAAAUAUGUUAGUAUUUUAGGGGAGAAGGUUGAUCUGGCAAGGCCCCCGCUGUUCUGGACACAGUAUCAGAGAGACUGCAGUGUCUGCCUUGGCUUGAGUUACCGCUGGAGUAGGGCGGACUUUAUUGGAGGACAGAAGACUCCUUGCUUGCAGUUUUACAGAGCUCAGCAGGGCAGGGUUGGCCUGUUUCAGCCUUUAUGGUUUCUGCCUGAGCAGUUCCUAAUAAGCAUGCCUUUCUGGUGACUGGGUUGCUUGUAGCACCCAUCGACUGGGCUGUAGUGCUCAGUAAGUACUGAGCGUAGAGCUCUGCAGUUCCUGGUCUGUCUUUUAUAUGUGUCCCCUCUCCUGAACCUGAAAUCGAUGGUCCCGUGAUCCACUGUCAGGGACCACUCCAGUACUCUUGAUAAAUAAGAGCUCAGUCAAAAUUGGUUUGUGAUGAAGCAUGAGACUUUGUACCUGUAGAAACCGAUAUAAAGGUGUACAACAUGUAUGAAAGCCACACUUCUAAGACGAAAACUGCUAUUUCCUGUCCUCAGUGUUAAGCUUUAACCAGGUACCUGGUACUUUGUACCUCUCUCCACCGAACCUUCAUAUUACCUGUGAGGCAGCCUUCUCCUCUCUCACUUUGUAAAUACAACCCAGAGACUGAAGGUAGAACUCAUGGCUCACUGGCUCAAGGCUUUUUUGAUUUACUUCUGCAGGCAAGUAGAAAUAGCACAGUUCUUCAAUCAGUGAAUGUUCGAAGGGAGCUCUUGGGUAUUUCUUAGCUGACAGGGGGAGUGCAGAAGAGGGAGCCAUUAGGAAACUCACUGGGAAGCAUGGAGGAGGACCAUACACACAUGAAAUGGUAAAGACACUCACAAAGAAAAGGUGUCAUGGCUGUGCCAUGUAAUAGACAUUAAUAAAUAAAACAUUUUGGAUUUCAACUAUGAAUAAUGAUUAUUCAGUAGGAAUUAUUUUUGAUUUUUAAUGGGGAAAAAUUUCAAAUCUAGGCUUAUAGCAAGACUUAAAACAAAUACAAAUCAGGCUUUUAGAAGCAUUUGUGCUCAAAGGAUAAGUGAUUUCAAAUGGUUUUUCUGGGCAUAAAAGAAUAUUUUUUGGUCACAAAAUGAAUGGGUGACUGCACUAAAUUGAGAUUCCUGAAUUUAUUAGCAGGGGUCUUCAUUUUUAUUUAAAUGACUUCUAGGGUUGCAAAUGUAAUAGAAUUUUCUAAUAUUCAGAAGUUCUCCUUUAGAGAUCACAGAAGGAACAAAAAUAAAACCCUUUGUAUAUUCAAGACUCCCCCGUCCUGCUGUCAGCACCAGUGAAGGUUGUUUAUGAGACACUGGAGAGCACAAAGGCUCCUCUGUCACCCAGCAGAGACCCUAUCUUAAGUGAUUACAUUACAUAGCGCUGCCCAGUCAUUAGUCUCUUGUUUAGUGAUAAUGUCCUUCAUUUUAAAUUCUUUGAUUGUAGUGAUUUGUGAAUAUGUCUUGAAUUCUAAAAUUAUUUGU